AAGCAGUUGUCCUUAGCCAGAAUGGAGAUACCUGAUCAUCAGAGGCUGGAGGAAAGCAGGUUCCUCAAAAAACAAACAACAACAACAAAAAAACCAACAAAACAUGAAGAAGCCAAAUCUGGAGGAUGAGUUUUCCAAAUUAAACACUGAAUAUUGUUGUAGAGUAAAAUGAUACUGUUUGUAAAGAGAUGUUUUUACUAGACAUCCUCUUCCUAGCCACCUAUUAAGGAAUAACUAGAAUAUAUAUUAACAGGAAGACAUCGGAAAUUAUCUUUGCACCUGAGAAAAUGUUAAGAUUCAGAAUUUGGCUGGAUGCUACUAAAGAGCUACUGAAAUAGACUCAAUGGCAGCUACAAUGCCCAACAGAAGCAGCGAUGCCUGGUGCACAUAGCAGGUUGCUAGCAGGAGUCUCCUGGGGUGAUUCACCUGUCUUGUUGGUGAGGAUAUGGACAUCAUCUGGGGACUCUCAGAAAUCCCUGAAGUGAUAUAGAGUCCCACAUGAGCUUGCCUAUGGUGUUUUACAAACCAAUAAUGUAGUGUUCAUAAACCAAAGUCACUUGGAGAACUUUUUUUCCCUAUUCGGGAAGAGAUUGGAGGAUUGUGCAGGAACUUACACUGCCUUAUCCCAGAAGUGACAGCCACAACAUCCAACCAUAUUUCCAUGGCCAAAACAUGUCCUAUGGCUUCACCUAACCACAAAUUGGCUGAAAGGUGGAAUCUACAAUAUGUCCAAGAAUGAAAAUAGAGACUUCAUUCAAGGACCUAUAAAAUGGGUGAGGAUGGGCAGGAUAGGGGGGAUGGCUCAAAUCUAAAGAAUCAUUUCCUCCCUAUUUCCUGUUUUAUGACCUGUGAUCAAGACAGGUCCUAGGCCUUUGAAGUCAAGGCACUCUCUGCCUUUGCAAAAAUGUUACUACCUCAUCUCAGACGCUUUCCACUCCACCCAGAAACAACUGAUCUUUUCUACAAUUGAGAUUAAGAUAAACUAUUAAUAUAGUUUGGAUUUGUGUCCCCGCCCAAAUCUCAUGUCAGAUUGCAAUCCCCAGUGUUGGAGGAGGGGCCUGGUGGGAGGUGACUGGAUCAUGGGGGCAGAUUUCCCUCUUGCUGUUCUUGUGAUAGUGAGUGAGUUCUCAUGAGAUAUGGCUGAUUAAAAGUGUGCAGCACCUCCCCCUUAUCUUUCUUCCUCCUGCUUCAGCCAUGUAAGAUGUGCCUCCUUCUUCUCCACCUUCUGCCAUGAUUGUAAGUGUUCUGAGGCCUCCCCAGCCAUGCAUCCUGUAGAGCCUGUGGAACCAUGAGCCAAUUGAACUUCUUUUCUUUAUAAGUUACCCAGUCUCAUGUAGUUCUUUAUAGAAAUGUGACAACGGACUAACACAUCCCUAUCACAGAAAACAACCACGUCGGCAGAAGGCGGUCAUAAAGGCAGGGUUAUAAGAAUCAGGGAGAAUUAAAAAUGAGGACAUAGGUAUUAAUAUAUAUUUAUUAACAUGAAAAGGUGUUUACUACACAUUCAUAAGGGAGAAAAUUGUGUAUUGGUACAUACGGCAUAUGUAUAGUAUAAUCCUGUGUGUGUGUUUAUGUAUAUGUAUACAUAUAUACAUAUUCUAUGUAAAUAGGGAAAAGUCUGAAAGAGUAUUCCAACAUGUGAACUGCAUGGGUGAAGGAGCUUUUCCUUCACCCUAGGAAGGUUCACUGAAAAAUCAACUCACAAAAAGACAGAUUAAUACGAGAAAAGGGUUUACAAAUUUAUUCCUACCCUGCACAUGAGGGGAAUCACAGAGUGACUGCCUAAUAUCCCAAUGGGGUUCAGAAGCUUAUAUACCAUCUUGAGGUUACAGAAAGACUGGGGGCUUGGAUUCUGGCAAAACAGAUUAAGGGAGGGGGAGAAGAGGAAUUCUGUUGAAGGGCAAUAAAUGGAAAAUGGUUGGAUGGAGGAACAGAGAUUAGCUUGUAAAUAGUUCUAUUUGCAAGUUGAAUGAUCCUUGUAGACAAACAUAAUCUUGUGAAAGGAUCUGUUCAUGUAUGAUUACAUUCUUUGUCUUCUUUUCUGCAAUGAAUAAUGACAUGGGAAGGGAAUGGAACAAUUGUCCUCCUUGGUAGGUACUUCCUAUCCUUACGUAGAUGGGAGAAAGUCUCUUCCAGGGACUGUUGAUCUCUAAGGGUCUUUAGUUCAAAAUAUCCAUUAUACCAGGGAGCCAUAUUUUGGGGUGAAAUUUCCUGUGCUCCUUCAGGAAUAAAAUUUCCUGCACUCCUUCUGACUUAUUAGACAUGGUGAUUUCUGAUAGUAGAAUUGAUACUGGUGGGUUGGAGGAGGUCCUCAAAUGCCUGUGGGACCUUGACUCCAGGUCCCCAAAUGCUGGUGGGACCAUGACAUCAUUGUGAGAGACAAUUCAAGGAUGAGUCAGAAAAUAGUGAAAGUACAGAGAUUUAUUGCAAAGGGAAAAGCACACACUCAAGGAAGGGGAGUAAGGCAUACUGGAGAGAGUCACUUGGUGGAGCUUGGGGUUUCUACCUUUAUGGGUUUCUUUAAUCAGGGGGUGGAAUAUUCAUAAAAAAGUCCUGAAAAAAUGUGGAGAUUUCUCAGAACUGUGGUGUCACCUAUUUCUAUACCAAAUAUGGGUGGUCACAGAACUGCCACAGCUCUGGUGGGUGUGUGAUUCAGUGUGUUAAUGAGCAUAUAAUGAGGCCCUAGGUGAAACCUAGAUCAAAUCCAGUGCCAUGUUGGGUCCAGUCAGUCUUAGCCAGCUUGGCCCAUAUCCUGGUUUUCAGGGUCUUACCAGCCGAUAGACUCUAGUCAUAUGAAACUACUGCCUGGAAUUUGUAUUCUUCUGGGACCACCCUGUAUUAUUCCUGUCUCAGAAUCAAAUGUGAGUUUCUUUUACAUUUUUUCUUUGUAUUUUCUAAUUAUUAUAUCAUAAACAUUGAUUAUGUGCACAAAAAUUAAUCAUGGGUGUCAUAGGAGACCGUCUUCCCUCAGUUUAGUCAACAAAGGAGAGGAACCUCCACACUGCAAUACUUAGGUGUGGGGAGGAUGGAUUGGGUGGUGCCUUGGCAGCAAUGAUGGUCAAGAUCAGCUUUGUGCUGAGCCAUAUUGGAUGCAAAAGGCAAAUCAGUAAUACUGAUCCGGAACACAGUGAGACCCUGUCCUUAAAUAAAAUAAAAUUUUGCUAUUUUAUUUAUGUUAAAGAAAAAAUUAUUUAAUGAUCACUUGCUAAAGAAUGUAAGGCAGACUUUAUCCAAGGGGGUCAUGGUGAUAGGUAUAGGAACCAUUGCAGUGAGGUCUUGCAGUCGGGGACAGAGACUGGGCUCCUUUCAACUCCAACAAAGAUAAGUGGGGAUUUAUAACAAAGGAGCAGGGUGGGGAGAUAAAAAAUUACUAAGAGGAAACAUCAAGAAUCACAGAGUUUCUGGCUAAACUGGCUUGGCAGCAUUAUUACUGAAGGUAUGCUAGUCAGAAAAGCCAUCUAAGGUGGUCAUUACCAAGGGUGGGGGCUUUUCACAAAACUGGCUUAGCAAGACUCUUGCUCAAACUGGAUUCUACAAGGAUAGAAAUGGAAGCCGAAGGUUGAACAUAGUCAAAAAGGACUCGGAGGAGCCUGACUUAAGUUUUGGUCAAAGGAGAGAGUCUUGAAAAUUCAUCAUGAAUUUUUAUUUUGCAUUCAUUUGGAUUUUUUUUUUUUUUUUGAGGCAGAGUCUCACUCUGUACCAGGCUGGAGUGCAGUGGCACGAUCUCAGUUCACUGCAACCUCCGUCUCCCUGCUUCAAGUGAUUCUCCUGCCUCAGCCUCCCAAGUAGCUGGGACUACAGGUGUAUGCCACCACGCCCAGCUAAUUUUUGUAUUAUUGGUAGAGACAGGGUUUCACCAUGUUGGCCAGGAUGGUCUCGAUCUCCUGACCUUGUGAUCCACCCACCUCGGCCUCCCAAAGUGCUGGGAUUACAGGUAUGAGUCACCACACCUGGCCAUUAGUUUGGAUUUUUAAACUAUUUCAUUAAAAUAUUAUACCUUUUUACUACUGAGGUUUUUUGGCAUCCCUUUUAGAUUUGGUGGCCAAGACAAGACCCUCUCUAACCUCACCCCAGUCCUGCCCUGGACCUCAUCUGGGAGGGAGAGGGAGGUGUCUGGGACUGGUCAAGAAACCAGAGAGUUCUGAGAAAUGACUCCACCAAUGAACACACGAGGCAGAUGAUUAUAAUGUGGUGCAGAGAAAACAGGAGACGAUGUUGGAGAACUCUGAUUUAAACAAGUAUGAGAAAGAUAAGUUUUGAAGCCCAGAACAGAUAGCUAUAUUGAGUAUUAAAAUUUGGACGGGAUAAAACGACAUCUUCACUUUAAGAUGUAAAAUGUAUUCUUGGAUGAAUUAGCUGGUGUCAACAGCAUUUGAAAGGUACAAGUACAUGAUGCUAACAAAGUUGAUAAUAAGUUGUUAAAAAGAAAACAUAGGAAACCAUCACAUACAAUACAGGAUGAGCUUAAUUUUUUUAAGGUAUUUAUUUUAGGAUUGGAAGGUUACACCUAAAAAUGUGACUGGUGAUUAUCUCUGAGCAGUAUCAUUCUAGGAGAUUUUCUUUUUUUCUGUAGAUAAAUGAAGUAACUAUUGUUCUCUCUACUCAGAGCACAAUCCUUUUUCUACUUUUCUGUGUAACACAGCACCUUUUCUUUAUGGGUAACCCACUCUGAGCUUUGGAUAGUUGGACGCCUCUGAACACUGAGUGAUGAGAAGGGCAUGUGACCUAGGCCCAGCCAGAAGGCUCUGGUAAACUUCUGGCCACAGUAAUUCGUUCAGGACUGGAGUUUGGCCCAUUAGCAUAUGCCCUGGAAACAGCAAAAAUAAGGUCUAAGGAUUAAGGAUAGCAGAAUAUGCCACUCCAAAAUAUGCCACUUUGACGUAUUGAUUAUUUUGAGCUGAAGCCAAUUGAGAAGAAACAGAUACAGUAAAAGCUUUCUGCUCUCCCCCUAUUUGCCUAAAAGCAGGAAAUAAAUUUGGAAAGAUGUCCCCUGACCCCAACAGAAAGUAGCUCAGUUAAUCAUCAGAGACAACUGUAAACAUUUACCAGCCUGGAGAUGGCACCAGAGGCAUCUGUAUAACAAACCUUACUAACUAACCCUUAUCUUCCAUUUGUUCCUCCAUAUAUUUCCACAACUUGCUGUCCUAGAAACUCAAAGUCUUUUUCCUUUGUCUUGUCACUUCUCUCAAAAUGUAUUGUUCUUUUGCUUAGACACUAUAAAGGCCAAAGGCACUACUUUGAAUUACUUAUCACUGAGCACUUACAUCUGUAUGUAUUAUUUAUAUGUUAAUAGAAUUCUGUUUGUGUUUCUUGCACUAAUAACUUUGUCAGUCUAUAAAUUAGGGCCCCAGCUAGAGAACCUAGAAAGAUACAGGGAAAAAAGUUUUUUCACUCCCCUGCAUGGAUCAUAUCAGCUGAUAAGCCAUUCUUAACUUGGGGCUUCCAGUGUGACUCAUUAUUGUUGUUUUGCCACCUCAUUGAGACAGCCCUUUGACACAAAGCCAAGAGACAAGAAAGCAGAAAUUAAAUGGAGGUGGAAGGAGAGAUUUUCUCAUCAAUAUUCUCUCUAGAGAUAAGAUUAUCAUUAGAUAUAGCAUUGCCAUGUUGGGGCAAAGAAAAUGAUACUCUUAAAAAUGACAAUUUGGCAUGCUGAGUGCUUUGAAUUAAAGAAAGUUGAAAAGUCUCAGAAAUCAACCUCAGAACGAAGUUAUUUCUCUGACCUUCCCCUAUCCCUCUGUCUCUCUAAUCCUCUUUCCUGCCCCCCUUCCCCCCAGCACCCAAAGCAUCUGAUGAACUGUCUUUGGAAUCCCCUUCUCUAAGAAAACUUUCCAAGAGAAAUGUAAUUUUCUUAAGACCUCCUCCCUAAGAAUCUCAUCAAUUAACCACAAAAGAUGAACCACCAGAGAAGAGAAGAGACUGGAAGUCAUCACCACACCCAGACACA